rnacentral:rRNA from 1 species
UUUAUGGAGAGUUUGAUCCUGGCUCAGGAUGAACGCUGGCGGCGUGCCUAAUACAUGCAAGUCGAGCGGACAGACAGGAGUGCUUGCACUCCUUGAAGUCAGCGGCGGACGGGUGAGUAACACGUGGGUAACCUACCUAUAAGACUGGGAUAACUUCGGGAAACCGGAGCUAAUACCGGAUAAUAUUUUCCACCUCAUGGUGGAAUAGUGAAAGACGGUUCUGCUGU